rnacentral:rRNA from 1 species
GGGCGCGGGAGUACCAAACUCUGAUUUAACGACGUUUCUUGCUGAGUGGUACAAGCAAAUAAUCAAAACUUUUAACAACGGAUCUCUUGGUUCUGGCAUCGAUGAAGAACGCAGCGAAAUGCGAUAAGUAAUGUGAAUUGCAGAAUUCAGUGAAUCAUCGAAUCUUUGAACGCCACAUUGCGCCCGCCAGCAUUCUGGCGGGCAUGCCUGUUCGAGCGUCAUUUCAACCCUCAAGCUCUGCUUGGUGUUGGGGCCCUACAGCUGAUGUAGGCCCUCAAAGGUAGUGGCGGACCCUCCCGGAGCCUCCUUUGCGUAGUAACUUUACGUCUCGCACUGGGAUCCGGAGGGACUCUUGCCGUAAAACCCCCCAAUUUUCCAAAGGUUGACCUCGGAUCAGGUAGGAAUACCCGCUGAACUUAAGCAUAUAAAAGGGGGGAGAGAGAA